GUGUCCACAUAAUUUUUGCCAGGAUUGUCUGAAAAUAACCUGAAAAAUAUAUCGAUGAUUUUCAACCAAAGCAGCCCUUCUACUAUACAUUUUUGAUGUUGCCAUUGCUUUAGGAUAACAAACAUGUUGUUUAAACUGGUUUAAUUGUUUUUUAAAGCAUAUUUAUUAUUUUGUUGAUGAGCAGCUUUUCGCCAUGAUAUGUGGCC